AGUGAACGCUGGCGGCGUGCCUAAUACAUGCAAGUCGAACGAAAUGGUGCACGGGUGAGUAAUAUAUAGUUAAUCUGCACUACACAGAGGAACAACAGUUGGAAACGACUGCUAAUACCUCAUAGUGUAGGAUGAGACUAUAUCGUAUCAGCUAGUUGGUACGGUAAUGGAUUACCAAGGCUAUGACGCGUAACUGGUCGUAGAGGAUGAUCAGUCACAUUGGAACUGAGACAUGGGCGAAGCUCCUACGGGAGGCAGCAGAAUGGAAUAGUGCGCAAUGGGGGAGACCCUGACGCAGCAACGCCUCUUGGAGUAUGACACUUUUCGGAGAGUAAACUACUUUUAUCAGGAAAGCGGUACCUGAUGAAUAAGCACCGGCUAACUUCGUGCCAGCCGCCGCGGUAAUAC
rnacentral:rRNA from 1 species